UACGUAGGGGGCAAGCGUUGUCCGGAAUUAUUGGGCGUAAAGAGCUCGUAGGCGGUCUGUUGCGUCUGCUGUGAAAACUCGGGGCUUAACCCCGAGCCUGCAGUGGAUACGGGCAGACUAGAGGUAGGUAGGGGAGAAUGGAAUUCCCGGUGGAGCGGUGAAAUGCGUAGAGAUCGGAAAGAACACCAACGGCGAAAGCACUCUGCUGGGCCGACACUGACACUGAGAGACGAAAGCUAGGGGAGCGAAUGGG
rnacentral:rRNA from 1 species